rnacentral:sRNA from 1 species
GAUAGGGGCUGACGAAGUGCACGUGUCCGUCGAUGCCGGCGGCCGUCAGGAUGAGGUGCUCGCCGGAGAUGGCGUCGCAGCUCGGACCGGUGCAGAGAGUCGGGGUAACCCCCUUCAUCACAUUGGGGUUUCCGGCCUUGCCUAUUCCGGCUAUCUUGCCGUCUUUGAUGCCUACGUCGGCCUUCACCACUCCCAGAAUCGGGUCGAUGAUGGUAACGUUGGUUAUCACAAGGUCGAGCGAGCCGGCUUCGGAAGUGAUGGUGUUGGCGGUGCCCAUGCCGUCGCGC